rnacentral:piRNA from 1 species
UCCUUGAGUCCUUGUAAGUUUUUUGGAACU